AUCACUUCUUGGCCUUUUGGCUAAGAUCAAGUGUAGUAUCUGUUCUUAUCAGUUUAAUAUCUGAUAUGUCCCCUUUGAGGGACUUCAUAUUAAAUUGCUUUUUGGAACAGGGAGAUGGGAUUCAGUGCUUGCUCUGCCCACUCUGUGCAUCAGCCCCGUAAUUCAGUAUAUCAGGGACUGGUGCACCUUCC